AAAAAAAAUUUUUUUUAAAAAAAAAAAACUAGAUACUAACACAUUUAAUUUUUUUUUGUU
rnacentral:misc_RNA from 1 species